UUCCGGUUGAUCCCGCCGGACCCGACCGCUAUCGGGGUGAGGCUAAGCCAUGGGAGUCGCACGCUCCGCCGCCGCGGGGCGUGGCGCACGGCUGAGUAGCACGUGGCUAACCUACCCUCGGGAGGGGGAUAACACCGGGAAACUGGUGCUAAUCCCCCAUAGGGGAAGGCGCCUGGAAGGGUCCUUCCCCGAAAGGGUUUGGCAGGGGUUAUCGCUGCCAAGCCGCCCGAGGAUGGGGCUACGGCCCAUCAGGUAGUUGGCGGGGUAAUGGCCCACCAAGCCUAUAACGGGUACGGGCCCUGAGAGGGGGAGCCCGGAGAUGGGUACUGAGACAAGGACCCAGGCCCUACGGGGCGCAGCAGGCGCGAAACCUCCGCAAUGCGCGAAAGCGCGACGGGGCCACCCCGAGUGCCAUCCGCUGAGGGUGGCUUUUCCCUAGUGUAGUAAGCUAGGGGAAUAAGCGGGGGGCAAGUCUGGUGUCAGCCGCCGCGGUAAAACCAGC
rnacentral:rRNA from 1 species